UGUUAAAGGCUCCUGAUCUGAGAGGUAAAGGGGUGAGAGUUUAUGUAGGGAUUUGUAUGUAUGGAGGAGGAUCUUGUCUUCUAUCCUGUACUUGAUGGGAAGCCAGUGGAGUUCUUGCAGGAUGGGAGUGAUGUGAUGAAUGGAAGGAG